GCGGUGAGAGUGGCGAACGGGUGAGUAAUGCGUGACCGACCUGCCCCAUGCUCCGGAAUAGCUCCUGGAAACGGGUGGUAAUGCCGGAUGUUCCACAUGAUCGCAUGUGAUUGUGGGAAAGAUUCUAUCGGCGUGGGAUGGGGUCGCGUCCUAUCAGCUUGUUGGUGAGGUAACGGCUCACCAAGGCUUCGACGGGUAGCCGGCCUGAGAGGGCGACCGGCCACAUUGGGACUGAGAUACGGCCCAGACUCCUACGGGAGGCAGCAGUGGGGAAUAUUGCACAAUGGGCGCAAGCCUGAUGCAGCGACGCCGCGUGAGGGAUGAGGCCUUCGGGUUGUAAACCUCUUUUGUUUGGGAGCAAGCCUUCGGGUGAGUGUACCUUUCGAAUAAGCGCCGGCUAACUACGUGCCAGCAGCCGCGGUAAUACGUAGGGCGCAAGCGUUAUCCGGAUUUAUUGGGCGUAAAGGGCUCGUAGGCGGCUCGUCGCGUCCGGUGUGAAAGUCCAUCGCUUAACGGUGGAUCUGCGCCGGGUACGGGCGGGCUGGAGUGCGGUAGGGGAGACUGGAAUUCCCGGUGUAACGGUGGAAUGUGUAGAUAUCGGGAAGAACACCGAUGGCGAAGGCAGGUCUCUGGGCCGUCACUGACGCUGAGGAGCGAAAGCGUGGGGAGCGAACAGGAUUAGAUACCCUGGUAGUCCACGCCGUAAACGGUGGACGCUGGAUGUGGGGCACGUUCCACGUGUUCCGUGUCGGAGCUAACGCGUUAAGCGUCCCGCCUGGGGAGUACGGCCGCAAGGCUAAAACUCAAAGAAAUUGACGGGGGCCCGCACAAGCGGCGGAGCAUGCGGAUUAAUUCGAUGCAACGCGAAGAACCUUACCUGGGCUUGACAUGUUCCCGACGACGCCAGAGAUGGCGUUUCCCUUCGGGGCGGGUUCACAGGUGGUGCAUGGUCGUCGUCAGCUCGUGUCGUGAGAUGUUGGGUUAAGUCCCGCAACGAGCGCAACCCUCGCCCCGUGUUGCCAGCACGUUAUGGUGGGAACUCACGGGGGACCGCCGGGGUUAACUCGGAGGAAGGUGGGGAUGACGUCAGAUCAUCAUGCCCCUUACGUCCAGGGCUUCACGCAUGCUACAAUGGCCGGUACAGCGGGAUGCGACAUGGCGACAUGGAGCGGAUCCCUGAAAACCGGUCUCAGUUCGGAUCGGAGCCUGCAACCCGGCUCCGUGAAGGCGGAGUCGCUAGUAAUCGCGGAUCAGCAACGCCGCGGUGAAUGCGUUCCCGGGCCUUGUACACACCGCCCGUCAAGUCAUGAAAGUGGGCAGCACCCGAAGCCGGUGGCCUAACCCCUUGUGGGAUGGAGCCGUCUAAGGUGAGGCUCGUGAUUGGGACUAAGUCGUAACAAGGUA
rnacentral:rRNA from 1 species